UUUGUUUUAAAGAGUAGUAACAUGCAGCUUGCUUGGCUAUUAAAUUGGAAACGGAUUCCUCUCUGACUUGGCCACUGAUAUUGGGCGUGACCUUGGACAAAUAAUUUUGUUUCUUUGGGCUCAGUUUCUACAUAUGUAAAACGGGAAGGUUUCUCUUAAAAACUAAUCCUGAAGGGUUUCUUGUCAACAAAAAGAUGCAAGCUGUAGGAGGCAGAAAGCGUGGGUUCAAGUUCGAAAUUUGCCCCUGAAUUAGGACUCUUGACACAUUUCUAACCCAUCCAAGUAGAGAUCGUUCUUUUACAUUUAUGUGUUAUACAGGUGCAUUUUAAUGGUUACCAGGUUGCCACGUAUUUGAAGUGGUGUGAGAGCUACUCGUUUGGAACCGUUGUGGAUUUUCAAAUAGGAAAAUCAAAAGGCCCAAAGAGACAGCUCACUGGUGACCAUGCUUUGGGAUUUUCAUAGUUUGAGUAAUUCCUAUGGGCUCUACCACCCAGCGAGUUAAAGAAGACAAGAUUCCACCCCCAGGGGGUUGUGGUUCUGGGAAUGUGAGCAGCUUGUUUUCAUGAGAUCUGCACCUUGAUCUGGCCUGCUAUUAGGAUCUGUGGUGGUGGUGGCUGUCUGGUUUUAGUUGUUUCUUUUAUCUUACACAGAUUUUUGUAAGUUAUUUGCAUAUAAAGGUUUUUGAAAAGUGAAUGUUUUAUGGGGGCAUCUUGCUUAUACAAAGAAAAAUUAAAACUAUUUUAAAAUAAUCACUCAUGUGUUACACUUGUCUCUUCUAAAAUAAAUGAAAGUAUUAAUGUUGUUGUCUGGAAGGAAAAUGAAGACCAGGAA
rnacentral:lncRNA from 1 species